UGGGGAAUAUUGCACAAUGGGCGCAAGCCUGAUGCAGCCAUGCCGCGUGUGUGAAGCAGGCCCUCGGGUUGUAAAGCACUUUCAGCGGGGAGGAAGGCGAUAAGGUUAAUAACCUUGUCGAUUGACGUUACCCGCAGAAGAAGCACCGGCUAACUCCGUGCCAGCAGCUGCGGUAAUACGGAGGGUGCAAGCGUUAAUCGGAAUUACUGGGCGUAAAGCGCACGCAGGCGGUCUGUCAAGUCGGAUGUGAAAUCCCCGGGCUCAAACUGGGGACUGCAUUCGAAACUGGCAGGCUAGAGUCUUGUAGAGGGGGGUAGAAUUCCAGGUGUAGCGGUGAAAUGCGUAGAGAUCUGGAGGAAUACCGGUGGCGAAGGCGGCCCCCUGGACAAAGACUGACGCUCAGGUGCGAAAGCGUGGGGAGCAAACAGG
rnacentral:rRNA from 1 species